rnacentral:rRNA from 1 species
CCUUGAGGAGUGGCUUCCGGAGCUAACGCGUUAAGUCGACCGCCUGGGGAGUACGGCCGCAAGGUUAAAACUCAAAUGAAUUGACGGGGGCCCGCACAAGCGGUGGAGCAUGUGGUUUAAUUCGAUGCAACGCGAAGAACCUUACCUACUCUUGACAUCCAGAGAACUUAGCAGAGAUGCUUUGGUGCCUUCGGGAACUCUGAGACAGGUGCUGCAUGGCUGUCGUCAGCUCGUGUUGUGAAAUGUUGGGUUAAGUCCCGCAACGAGCGCAACCCUUAUCCUU